rnacentral:lncRNA from 10 species
GUGAGCUGAGAUCGUGCCACUGCACUCCAGCCUGGACGACAGAGACAGUCUCAGUCUCAAAAAAUAAUAAUAAUAAUAACAAUAAUAAUUAAAAUGCAGACUCUUGGCUGGGCGCAGUGGCUCACGCCUAUAAACUCAGCACUUUGGGAGGCCCAAAUGGGAGGAUCACUUGAGGCCAGGAGUUCAAGACCAGCCUGGGCAACACAGCAAGAUCUCUGUCUCUACAAAAACUUCUAAAAAUUAGCCAGGCAUGGUGGCAUACGCCUGCUGUCCUAGCUACACGGGAGGCUGAGGCAUGAGGAUCUCUUGAGCCUAGGAGGUGGGUCGAGGUUGCAGUGAGCUGUGAUUGCACCAUUGCACUCCAGCCUGGGCAGCAGAGUGAGACCCUGUCUCAAAAAAUAAAUAAAUAAAUAAAAAUAAAAAAGGCCGGGCACAGUGGCUCACGCCUGUAAUCCUAGCACUUUGGGAGGCCGAGGCAGGUGGACUGCCUGAGCUCAGGAGUUCGAGACUAGCCUGGGCAACACGGUGAAACCCCGUCUCUACUCAAAUACAAAAAAUUAGCUGGGCAUGGUGGCAUGCGUAUGUAAUCCCAGCUACUCGGGAGGCUGAGACAGGAGAAUCGCUUGAAAUAAAAUAAAAUAAAUAAAAAAUAAAUUUAAAAGAAUGCAGACUUUUAGCUCUCCCAGACUUAAUGAAUCAGACUUUGCAUCUGAACAAGAUCCCAGGUAAUUUGUGUGCAUAGUGUAGUCGGACAAGCAUUGCCCUAAGCAGUGAGUAUGUGAAUACAAGUCUAGAACCCAAAUGAGGACUUCUCACCUGGCACAGAAGUGGGCUGCUGGGGAGUGUGGCUAACUACAUCUGCGGCUUCUGCCUACCUUGAUGACUCAAAUUGUUGAGUCAGGUAUUUUCUGUUUCUUUCCAACCCUUGUAUACCGCCUUGAACAUAGCAAGUGCCAGGUGUGGUGGCACGUGCCUGUAGUCUCUGGAGGCUGAGGCGGGAGGACUGCUUGAGCCCAGGAGUUCUGUGUGGUAGUUCAUUAUGUGGAUUGGGUGUCUGCACUAAGUUUGGCAUCAAUAUGGUGACCUCCUGGGAGCAGGGGACCACGAAGUUGCCUAAGGAGGGGUGAACUGACCCAGGUCGGAACAUAGCAGGCAAUAAAUAUCCUGGGAAUGAAUGUUGAACCAAUCUUAUACUAUUCUCUCAGUUUAGGGUUUUUAGGGUAUGCUGUACUUCUGCAUCUGGACAUGUAC